rnacentral:sRNA from 1 species
GUUUUGCGCGAGGGAUGGAAGUGACAUCCUUUUAUGAAACCUGCGGAAUAAAAGAUACAACGAACAGCCCGACCAGGA